rnacentral:rRNA from 1 species
GAUGAACGCUGGCGGCGUGCCUAAUACAUGCAAGUCGAGCGAACAGACGAGGAGCUUGCUCCUCUGACGGUAGCGGCGACGGGUGAGUAACACGUGGAGAACCUACCUAUAAGACUGGGUUAACUUCGGGAAACAGGAGUUAAUACCGGAUAAUAUAUUGGAUCGCAUGGUUCAAUAGUGAAAGACGGUUUUGCUGUCACUUAUAGAUGGAUCCGCGCCGCAUUAGCUAGUUGGUAAGGUAACGGCUUGCCAAGGCAACGAUGCGUAGCCGACCUGAGAGGGUGGUCUGCCACACUGGAACUGAGACACGGUCCAGACUCCUACGGGAGGCAGCAGUAGGGAAUCUUCCGCAAUGGGCGAAAGCUUGACGGAGCAACGCCGCGUGAGUGAUGAAGGUCUUCGGAUCGUAAAGCUCUGUUAUUAGGGAAGAACAAAUGUGUAAGUAACUAUGCACGUCUUGACGGUACCUAAUCAGAAAGCCACGGCUAACUACGUG